rnacentral:rRNA from 1 species
AUGGCAGAAUGCUUCAAUAAGGUGCUCAAGGGUGUACGUGCAUUACCCGUGACGGCAAUAGUUCAAUACACAUUUGACAAGAUGAAUGGAUACUUUUUAAAGUACUCAAUGGAGACGGAUAAGCAGAUUGCUGGUGAGAACAAGGAUAAGCACAAGUACUAUUUCCCACCAAAGGUUGAAGAAUGGUUGGACUUUCAAUCACGAAAGGCAGACUCCCAAGAAGUUGUACUAUAUGACGACAACGAGUGGAAGUAUGAAGUGAAAGAGCCUGGAGGAACCACAAACGAUGGCCACCAACACGGAGGCCGCACUUUCAAGGUCUCCCUAACACGGUGUGAUUGCAGCUGCAUGAGGCCAUCGUUGCUUCAUCUCCCAUGCUCGCACUUGUUAAAUGCAUCCCGUGUUAGGAAUGUGGACGUCAAUCACCCUCUUACCGUGGGGGAGUCCGAGUUCUCAAUCAUGAUGGUAAAGAAUACAUGGGCUCCCCGGUUUCAGCCAUACUUGGACCAAUCACAAUGGCCGGAGUAUCAUGGAGUUCAACUAUGGCCGGACCCAGAAUUGAAGGUCGUUAGACGGGGAAGACGUAAGACAAAGCGUCUUAGAGGUGACAUGGACGGAUGGGGCCGUGGUGGCGGUGGAGAAUACGGCACCGGCCAAUUCCAAGAGUCUCGUGAGCAAACCCGUUGUGGGGACUGCAGUCAUCGGGGACACAACACAAGAACUUGUCCCAAACCAAGAAAAAGAUCAAAGAAAAAUGAUGCAAGCACAAGCCAAGCAAAUGAUAGCCAACCAAGUCAACCAAGGAGUAGCCAACCAAGUCAAACAAGCCAACGAGGAACUAGGCAACAAAGAGGGAGUCAACUAGGUCUUAGAAGAGGCCGUUGUGGUGGUAGAGGCCGUGGUAGUGGUAGAGGCCGUGGUGAUGGCCUAGGCCGUGGUGAUGGCCUAGGCCGAGGGGAUGGGCUUGGCCGUGGUGAAGGCCUAGGCCGUGGUGAUGGUCUUGGCCGUGGUGAGGGUCUUGGUCGUGGUGGUGGGAGAGGCCGUGGUGAUGGUCUUGGCCGUGGUGGUGGGAGNNNNNNNNNNUGGUGGUGGUAG